UUUAGUAUGGAGUUGCAAAAAUGGUUUUGCUGACUAAGUUGUGUUUGUGAACAACAUCCAUUCACCACUCCAAUUCGAGAGAUUUCCGAACACAACGGCGGCUUCACCACUAUCAGCCACCAUCAAACCAUGGCGACCUGAAACUCGUUUCACAGAAAUACCAGUAAUUUUUCGGCAAUCGCCACUUCAGACUUGAGCAAUCGUCAUAUCCCGUUAGGGUUUGCAGACUCUCCAUUGUGGAGCUUGCUUCAGGUGAAUAAUUUGCAAGUCUUGCUUUGUCCGCGCAAUGAUUAAGCUUUGUUCCCAUAGAAAAAAUAUAUUAUCCAAAUGGGUAUUGUUUGCAAAAAUGCACAGCACAAAUGAGGCGAUUCAGGAGGUUGGAGAAGCGAGCGAGAGAGUGAGCAAGGUUAUGAUGACGUGUCCCACACUGGCACUUGACACUGCUCUUAAUCAAACUGGAGUUAAAGUUUCCCCUGAUUUAGUUGAAGAUGUUCUCAAACGAUUUGAGAAUGCGGGCAUGUCAGCAUUUCGGUUCUUUGAGUGGGCAGAGAAGCAGAGAGGGUACUCGCACAGCAUAAGGGCAUAUCACUUGAUGAUUGAAUCUCUGGCUAAGAUUAGACAGUACCAGAUCGUGUGGGACCUUGUUAAUGCCGUGAGGAAAAAGGGCAUGCUAAAUGUGGAGACUUUUUGCAUCAUGAUGAGAAAGUAUGCUAGGGCUAACAAGGUCGACGAGGCUGUUUACACCUUUAAUGUCAUGGAUAAGUACGAUGUGGUCCCAAAUCUUGCUGCAUUUAAUGGUUUGUUAAGUGCUUUGUGCAAGUCCAACAAUGUGAGGAAGGCUCAGGAGAUUUUUGAUGCUAUGAAGGGUCGAUUUGAACCAGACGCGAAAACUUAUAGCAUUUUGCUGGAGGGGUGGGGAAAAGCUCCCAAUCUUCCCCGGGCAAGGGAGGUUUUUGGAGAGAUGGUUCAUGCUGGGUGUGAUCCUGAUGUUGUUACUUAUGGUAUAAUGGUUGAUGUUCUUUGCAAAGCAGGGAGGGUCGAUGAAGCAGUUGAGGUUGUGAAGGAAAUGGAUGAGAGCAAUUGCAGGCCUACAUCUUUCAUUUAUAGUGUCCUGGUUCAUACUUAUGGAGUGGAGCACCGAAUUGAAGAUGCUAUUGAUUCAUUCCAGGAGAUGGAGAGGAAGGGAAUCAAGGCUGAUGUUGUGGUUUAUAAUGCCUUGAUUGGUGCCUUUUGUAAAGUAAAUAAGUUUAAAAAUGUGCGCAGGGUCUUGCAGGAGAUGGAGAUCAAUGGCGUUGCGCCGAAUUCAAGGACCUGCAAUGUUAUCAUAAGCAGUGUGAUUGGUCAGGGACAGACUGAUAGAGCUUUUAGAGUUUUCCGCCGGAUGAUCAAGUUAUGUGAACCGGAUGCUGAUACUUACACAAUGAUGAUAAAAAUGUUUUGUGAGAAAAAUGAUCUGGAAAUGACUCUGCAAAUAUGGAAGUUUAUGAAGUCAAAACAAUUUGUUCCAAGCAUGCACACCUUUUCUGCCCUUGUCAAGGGGCUGUGUGAAAAAGGUGAUGCCGCAAAAGCUUGUGUUGUGCUUGAAGAGAUGAUAGAGAAGGGAAUUCGACCAUCACGUAUUACGUUUGGGAGGUUGAGACAGUUGCUUUUAAAGGAAGGGAGAGAAGAUGUGCUCAAAUUUCUUCAUGAGAAAAUGAAUCUUCUUGUCAAGGAGCCUUUACAUGAUUAAAAAAGGUGAAUGCAGUUGGCAACUAGAAACAUAUAGCAAGCUUUGAAUACUAUUUUGUUGUCAAAACAGUUUUGUAACCACAGUUUUGUAUACUUGGGAUCUGCCUAUUAUGUAAUAUAGAAAUCAGACCGCUUAACUUACUGAUAUGCGGAUACUGCCAAGUCCUUCCCAAAUAUAAAAUGCAUUGAUGAUCAAACAUUGUAUGCCAUGUCAUUGCUGAUGAGAUCACAAGACCAUUAUCCACUAGAUUUUCGAAUGUGACAUAAUGAUGCCCUGCAUGUUAUAGGGAAAACUUCCUCUAAAGUUAGAAUAUCUCUAAAUUAGCAUGGGUGUAUUCACCCUUUGAAUUUGAGUUAAGAUUUUAUGCUUGAUGAUCGAUGAAGUUUUAUUGGAAGUGAGCGGGGGUUAAAAGUAUUUGCUUUGGAUUUGUCCCUAGUGAAUUGGAAAAUAUCCUGAUUAUCAUUUAGUGAAGAAAAACCUUGCGCUAGUGGUUGUUCAUGAUCUCUGACAAAUCAGUGAUGUCACUUACCCUGCUGGAAAAGCUCCCUUUAAAACUUACUUUUAUUGAUCGCAGACUUAGAAUGAUAUUCUUAGAUUUUCAGUAUGUUGUUUCUUUUGGCCUAAAUUUUCAGCUGUUAAAAUGCCAUUUGAGGUGGGUCUGCAUUUUAUG